rnacentral:rRNA from 1 species
UGCCAGACUCCUACGGGAGGCAGCAGUGGGGAAUAUUGCACAAUGGGGGAAACCCUGAUGCAGCGACGCCGCGUGAGUGAAGAAGUAUCUCGGUACGUAAAGCUCUAUCAGCAGGGAAGAAAAUGACGGUACCUGACUAAGAAGCCCCGGCUAACUACGUGCCAGCAGCCGCGGUAAUACGUAGGGGGCAAGCGUUAUCCGGAUUUACUGGGUGUAAAGGGAGCGUAGACGGCAGCACAAGUCUGGAGUGAAAACCCGGGGCUUAACCCCGGAACUGCUUUGGAAACUGUGCGGCUGGAGUGCAGGAGGGGUAAGCGGAAUUCCUAGUGGAGCGGUGAAAUGCGUAGAUAUUAGGAGGAACACCAGUGGCGAAGGCGGCUUACUGGACUGUAACUGACGUUGAGGCUCGAAAGCGUGGGGAGCAAACAGGAUUAGAUACCCGGGUACC